CGGACACACCACCUGCACCCGAAGUCUGACACUAGACUCAGCUGCUCCAUCUGGAGAUUAAUGCAGCUCCCAGUUCUGCUGUUGCUCCAGCAAAAAAUGGAUUCUCUGCAGCCCCUGUUUGUCCCAUGUCAUGUCAGGAGUCAAUCUGCUUGAGCCUGGAUCACAUAUCUGAGCCUAGCGGCAAGGGAGGCUGGGAGAAUAAGCCUGUGGCUUCCAUGGGGUUGUUGGUUUCCGUCACCCAUCAAGAGCCAUGAGGUAGAGAAAUCCCCAGACAGCUCAGAUGCCAGGAAGGGGGGUGGACUGAAGGAAAGUAGAAAAAGAAUGACAAGUGUCUACUAGAACUUUCUUUUAGGACACCAAGGACCUGGUUAAGAGCUUCCUUUGACAGCAUAGUCUGGGUCUUAGCAGGAAAAAAACCAAAAACAAAAAAAACGGCAUGCUCAAGAUGGGUGAUUAGAGGAAAAUUGAGUAAAGGGGGUAUUUACAAAGGAUGGGCAAGGUAUAGGGAAGCCACAAGGGACAGUGCAGUGUUCUAGAACUAAUAACAAGAGCCGUUACCACCCUAGGCCUAAAGAGGCAAGGGGAAGGAGUAGUGACUAGAUGAGAGAGAAGGAUGGAGAGAGAGACUGAGAGAGUGAGAGAUAGCGUCACCUGAAGGGAGCCUACACCAUCCAAAAGAGACACAGCCAGCCCUGGGCAACCCCUCAGGGAGAGAACAAGAGUUGUAAAUGGUCCUCUUCCCCUUCCUUUCCUAUGAACACCUGCUGAGGCUCCCAUUGGCCCCAGUUGGAUGCCAGAGCAUGGAGAGCCCAUUUGGGCUGUUCACACUUGUCAGUCUGGUGGAAUACAGUGCAUGUUGGAGAAGGACGGAAGUGGAUGUGGAGGAACGAAUAGGAGAUAUGCGGCACACGAGGUUUAAUCAAUAUGUCACCAACAUUUUUCUUUUCGUUUUAUUCAAUAUCUCCUUUGGGGAUGUCACUUUGCAUUUUUAGUACCCCAGUCUACAAGAUAGAUGAUCUUAAAGUGUCCUUCUCAUAUUGAGCUUAACAAGAUUCUGUUUUCCCCUUGUUGUUUAGAAUGCUCUAUUGUAUGGUUCAACAAUCUGUGCUAUUAAAGGUUAGCAGAUAUGCCAACCAGUCCGUUUUGUUGUGUGUUUUUUUUUUCCUUCACAGACUUGGAAAAAGAGUGGGACAUGUGACCUACACACACAGAUCAAGAUUCUCCCUUUCCAGAUUUUCAUACAGAUAUACUAUAUGCUCUUACUCAGCCUGCCUUAAAUAUCCAACUGGCUGCUGGAUACGUCAGCCUGGUUUCCCACCAGCCAAGAUGUGCACUAAUUGCGUGUGCAAUUCAGAACUGAGCUUCUUUGCACGAGUGACAUGAAUUCCGGGCAAUUAAAAAGGACAUGAAUUUCAAGACACUUAGGAAGAGGCUCUGCUUUCUAAUAGCUCUGCAUGUGACCAAGUGUAGUUCCUGAGAAAAGCACUGCAGAUUGGAAACCUCCACCUUAGGAGACGGUGGAGUUAUUGCCAUUUUCUAUUGUUUUACAAUAUUAUUGCAAGGAAACCACAUUAGGGGACUUGAUUUUGGCGGCUGAAGUGCUGUAUGUGGAUAUAACAACUUAAUAAAAGA